CUGCAGUCGACGAUGAUGCCCACUUGUGGGUGGAUUAGUGGCGAACGGGUGAGUAACACGUGAGUAACCUGCCCUUAACUCUGGGAUAAGCCUGGGAAACUGGGUCUAAUACCGGAUAUGACUCCUCAUCGCAUGGUGGGGGGUGGAAAGCUUUUUGUGGUUUUGGAUGGACUCGCGGCCUAUCCCCUUGUUUGUGAGGUAAUGGCUCACCAAGGCAACAACAGGUAGCCCGCCUGACAGGGUGACCGGCCACACUGGGACUGACACACCGCCCAAAAUCCUACAGGAGGCACCAGUGGGGAAUAUUGCCCAAUGGGCGCAAGCCUGAUGCAUCGACACCGCGUGAGGGAUGACGGCCUUCAGGUUGUAAACCUAUUUCCGUAGGGAAGAAGCGAAAGUGACGGUACCUGCAGAAGAAGCGCCGGCUAACUACGUGCCAGCAGCCGCGGUAAUACGUAGGGCGCAAGCGUUAUCCGGAAUUAUUGGGCGUAAAGAGCUCGUAGGCGGUUUGUCGCGUCUGCCGUGAAAGUCCGGGGCUCAACUCCGGAUCUGCUGUGGGUACGGGCAGACUAGAGUGAUGUAUGGGAGACUGGAAUUCCUGGUGUACGGUGAAAUGCCCAGAUUCAGGAGGAAACCGAUGGCGAAGCAGGUCUCUGGGCAUUAACUGACGCUGAAGACCAAAGCAUGGGGAGCGAACAGGAUUAGAUACCCUGGUAGUCCAUGCCGUAAACGUUGGGCACUAGGUGUGGGGGACAUUCCACGUUUUCCGCGCCUUAGCUAACGCAUUAAGUGCCCCGCCU
rnacentral:rRNA from 1 species